rnacentral:rRNA from 1 species
GAUGAACGCUGGCGGCGUGCCUAAUACAUGCAAGUCGAGCGAACAGAUGAGGAGCUUGCUCCUCUGACGUUAGCGGCGGACGGGUGAGUAACACGUGGAUAACCUACCUAUAAGACUGGGAUAACUUCGGGAAACCGGAGCUAAUACCGGAUAAUAUAUUGAACCGCAUGGUUCAAUAGUGAAAGACGGUUUUGCUGUCACUUAUAGAUGGAUCCGCGCCGCAUUAGCUAGUUGGUAAGGUAACGGCUUACCAAGGCAACGAUGCGUAGCCGACCUGAGAGGGUGAUCGGCCACACUGGAACUGAGACACGGUCCAGAAUCCUACGGGAGGCAGCAGUAGGGAAUCUUCCGCAAUGGGCGAAAGCCUGACGGAGCAACGCCGCGUGAGUGAUGAAGGUCUUCGGAUCGUAAAACUCUGUUAUUAGGGAAGAACAAAUGUGUAAGUAACUAUGCACGUCUUGACGGUACCUAAUCAGAAAGACACGGCUAACUACGUG